GUAGUCCACGCCCUAAACGAUGCGAACUGGAUGUUGGGCUCAACUCGGAGCUCAGUGUCGAAGCUAACGCGUUAAGUUCGCCGCCUGGGGAGUACGGUCGCAAGACUGAAACUCAAAGGAAUUGACGGGGGCCCGCACAAGCGGUGGAGUAUGUGGUUUAAUUCGAUGCAACGCGAAGAACCUUACCUGGCCUUGACAUGUCCGGAAUCCUGCAGAGAUGCGGGAGUGCCUUCGGGAAUCGGAACACAGGUGCUGCAUGGCUGUCGUCAGCUCGUGUCGUGAGAUGUUGGGUUAAGUCCCGCAACGAGCGCAACCCUUGUCCUUAGUUGCCAGCACGUAAUGGUGGGAACUCUAAGGAGACUGCCGGUGACAAACCGGA
rnacentral:rRNA from 1 species